rnacentral:lncRNA from 1 species
UUUUUUUUUUUUUUUUGAGACAGUGUCUUGCUCUGUUGUGCAGGCUGGAGUACAGAGGUGCAGUCUCAGCUCAGUGAAUCUUUGACCUCCCAGGCUUAAGCCAUCCUCCCACCUCAGCUUCUCAAGUAGCUGAGACUACAGGUGCACACCACCACAUCUGGUUAAUUUUUGUAUUUUUUGUAGAGACAGCAUUUCGCCAUGUUGCCCAGACUGGCCUCCCGGGCUCAAGUGAUCCUCUUGCCUCAGCCUCCCAAAGUGCUGGGAUUACAGGGAUGAGCCACAGCACCUGGCCUGGUCUGUGCUUCUUAAAAUGGUUUCUUCUCCUUGAAUAUCCUAUGAUGAAUUUAACCAUGAGCAUUCUCCAAGGCUUGGGCUGUGAUCUUCUCUUUGAGGGACACACAGUUCAACCCAUACACAUGGGAAACAAUGUGAGAUGGGGUUUGGUAUGCAGGAUGGUUAUCAGGGAGUGUUCAUGUUGACACAUGUGAAAGGAAGAUGAGGAAGUAGGACCAGGCACGGGGGGAAUUCAGCUGUUGAGGCAGGACCACUGACUAUCUUGGCCAACCCCACUGGAGGACCUGGAGCUAGAAUGGCCCUUCAGAGUCACCUGGUGUUGGGACAAGAGGGCCAGGCCCUUAUAUUCUCACAUCUGUCAGUCACUGGAUAUUAGGCUGCACCAGGAAGGGGCACAACAUUGGCAUGACAGUGGCAUGCAGCUGAGGCAAUCUCUGAGGGGCUGAACCUGGAAGCUCUCUACAGACACCACUGUCAGCAGCUGGGCAGUGAAUCCUUCACUGAAGGGUAUCUGGGGACAGGCAUCCGAGCAUCCUCCAUGUAAGUUGGUCCCUCUGCCUGCAGGAACCUGCUUCCUUUCAUCACUCCUUCAAGCCUAAUGGUGUUGACAGCACCUCAGUUACCAGCCCUCUGGCACUGCACGAUGCCUUGUGGGAUUCCUCUUUCCUACUUACACCUUUGCAAAUGGUUCCUUUAUUAAAAUCUCCUCCAACUGUUGUCAAAUCCAAAGCUUGUACUGCUCACUGCAUGACAGCUAUUAGUCGAAAGACAAGAUGUUGGGGCAAGGAAAGAGAUUUUAUUUUGGAGGGCCAGCAAACUGAGAUGGCAGACUAGUGUCCUAAAGAAACAUGUUAAGCUAAUAUGAAUUUAGGGCUCCCUUUAUUUUAGGGAAAUGGGGAAGAUGCAGGGGGUUGAGGCCAAAAAGUGACAGAUGACCACAGACAUCUGAGUGGCAGUGAGGGUCAACUUCUUUUUCCUUGGUCAGGUCACAAUACUCUUAUAAAAUUUUAAUAUAACAUUGUUACUUCUGUGUACCCCCUUGUUUUCUCCUCGGGUGUUAGUUUCAGGGAAGGGCUAUUCUCAUCCUUGCUUUAAACUAUAAGCUAAAUUUCUCCCAUAGUUAGAUUGGCCUAUGUGCAGAGAUAAGCAAAAACAGUUAACCUAAAAGAUAUUGAUACAGGAGACAGAAAGAAAUUAUUUAGGCAAACAGCGAGGGCAAAAGAGUCCUUGGUGGAAUUUCCCUUUUAACAAAAAGCAGUCCCAGAAUUAUUUCUUUUCCAACAAAAAGCGGCUUUAAAAAGUUGAGCUGCAGACAUAGAUAAAUAAGCAAGCUGGAAGCUUGCAUGGGUGAAUGCUGGCAGCUGUGCCAAUAGAAAAGGGCUAACUGAGGGCCAGGUAUGUUCACCAUGGAGGCUUCAUCUUGCCUUUUCUUUGUCACUACAUAUAUGGUAAAGGAAUAGGCAACAUGGCACUGGCAGGUAGAGAACGCAUCUGCAUAAUAAAAGAUUAGGGUGGGGAUGGCCAAAUGGCAUGCCUAGUCCUAACCAGUUUUCAAGCCUUAUGCAAAUGGCACACCUGGUCUGACCAAUCUUUUGUGCCCUAUGUUAAUCAGACACCACCUGCUCAAACUCAUCUAUAAAAAACCCUGCCUUUUGUUGUGGGCCAGGAACCUGCUCAGGACCCCUCUCUCUGCAGGAGAGAGCUCUUCUCUUUUGCCUACUUAACCUCCACUCUUAACCUCAUUCCUUGUGUGUCCAUGUCCUUGAUUUCCUUGGCAUGAGACAAUGAACCGUGGGUAUUACCCCAGAUGAAUGAUGUCGCUUCAAUAUCAUCAUGGGAGGCUGGACAGAAGGGGUGUGUGUGGAGGGAGUUAGUUGUGCUAGGCUUCCUUUUUAUGUUACAUGCCCAUCAUAUUGAGUGUGCUCUCUGCUUCCUGAUGGGACCCUGACUGAUGUGACCAAACAGGUCCAGAGUACUCCACCUCAAAAGAUGCCACUGUGGCAUAUUGAGUAUUUUGAGGUAAAGGCAAUCAAGAAUCUACAGCAGAUACAGGAAGAGCUCUCUGCCCUCCCUUGAUCUGCCUGAGAGCUGGGCAUAAGUUUCCCUUCCUUUGUGAAGGUGACUCCCCAUUAGCACCAGGAAGGGAAGAGUAGUAACUCUCAUCAACAGAGAUAGGGAGUUGACACAGAGAUGAGUUUGCAUAAACAGACCUUGUAAAAAUAAUGCUUACUGUAGAAGUGAGGGGAAUUUUUCCCUUUACUUUCUGAAGAUUCAAUUCUUUAAGUCUGCUGAAAUAAACUGGCAACAGACAGAGUAACAGGAGAAAAAGCAUCCACAUUCAUUUCAGUCGAUGGUGUCAUCACAGGCAAGUGAAUACCCAAUAACCCAAUGAGGUCUAGAAGCUCAAAUGUCACUUUAUGUUAUGGAAAAAAAUGGGGAAUGGAAGAUUCCUGGAGGGUAAUUGUGACAACAUAUGUGAGGUGGGGGGAGGAAGGCUGUUUUUAUGCAGAUAAGGUCUCCCAGGUAACAGCCAUCAGAAAAACAGGUGAUUGCCUGUGGUAAUCUCUGUCUUGAGGAGGUUUCAGACCUUUAUCCAUCUUUAGGCAGAUAAAACGGCCUCAGAGAAAAACCUCUGCUUCCAUCUGCAGUUUACCAUACUAAGUUCUGACCAAUGGUACUGAACAAAACCAUCAGGAAGGCCACUGUGGAUGGGGCAGUGUUGGAAAUAUAAUAAAAAGCAAAAUCUCC